rnacentral:rRNA from 1 species
UACGUAGGGUCCGAGCGUUGUCCGGAUUUAUUGGGCGUAAAGAGCUCGUAGGCGGUUCCAUAAGUCAGAUGUGAAAACUCAGGGCUCAACCCGGAGACGCCAUCUGAUACUGCGGUGACUGGAGUCUGGUAGGGGAACACGGAAUUCCUGGUGUAGCGGUGAAAUGCGCAGAUAUCAGGAGGAACACCGAUGGCGAAGGCAGUGUUCUGGGCCAGUACUGACGCUGAGGAGCGAAAGCGUGGGGAGCAAACAGG